rnacentral:rRNA from 1 species
AUUGAACGCUGGCGGCAUGCCUUACACAUGCAAGUCGAACGGCAGCACGGGAGCAAUCCUGGUGGCGAGUGGCGAACGGGUGAGUAAUAUAUCGGAACGUGCCCAGUAGUGGGGGAUAACUGCUCGAAAGAGCAGCUAAUACUGCAUACGACCUGAGGGUGAAAGGGGGGGAUCGCAAGACCUCUCGCUAUUGGAGCGGCCGAUAUCAGAUUAGCUAGUUGGUGGGGUAAAGGCCUACCAAGGCAACGAUCUGUAGUUGGUCUGAGAGGACGACCAGCCACACUGGGACUGAGACACGGCCCAGACUCCUACGGUAGGCAGCAGUGGGGAAUUUUGGACAAUGGGGGCAACCCUGAUCCAGCCAUUCCGCGUGAGUGAAGAAGGCCUUCGGGUUGUAAAGCUCUUUCGGCAGGAACGAAACGGCGAGCUCUAACAUAGCUUGCUAAUGACGGUACCUGAAGAAGAAGCACCGGCUAACUACGUGCCAGCAGCCGCGGUAAGAC